CUCUGGGGAACCCCAUGGAGAGGAGCACGUCCAGCGCCGAUCCAUGCUUGAUGGUGCCGGGGCGCUGCUGGCGGUUCCUCCGGGGGGUGACUUUGCUGUACAGCUCCUCUCUCGCAGCCAUGCCGAGCGGGCUGGGGUUGCCGUACUGAGCCAGGGCUUAGCGGCCAGCCAUUGCCAGGGAAGGCUCCCGGGCCGGUCGUCCGGCGCGGGCCGGACCAGGGGAGGGGGCUCCGCGAUCGCUAGCCAGGCGAGUGGCGGCGGCGGCGGAGGCGGCGCUCCGAGCUUCCCUAGUGUCGAGACUCUGACGCUUCCUGGUGAGGCCACCGGAGCCAGACGCUGGCAAGCAGCUUCUGCGGGACCAGCCGUCAGCCAGGCGGGCCCCGGGUGCUCCCAGCGCUGCGCCUGCGGUAGCCCUCCCUACUCCGCCCCUUUCCUUCUCCUCUGCAAGCAGUCCGGGAAUUUGCAAUGAGUAAUUUUUGAAUGGAUCAAAAAGGAAAAGGAGCCUUGUGGGCUGG
rnacentral:lncRNA from 1 species